rnacentral:piRNA from 1 species
UCAUAAUACUGUAAUACAUAGAAG